UAUAUUUUUUUCUUUUCAUUUUAGCGUUUCUUUCGAAGAGAGUUAUUGCUUUACGUUCUUGUUUAAAUUUUACAAGUGACCACCUCAUCACCAUGCGACGAUGUUCAUUAACAUUUUACCCACCGGAUAAUCAAAUUCUUUCUCCAUCCUUGAAAUCUGUGAGCCUUCGGGGAAAUAAAAUAACUUAUCUUUCCUCGGAAGCAUUUGCCCAUCUUACUUUGCUCAUAUCUCU